rnacentral:lncRNA from 1 species
GCAAAUUUAUAAUUUUUCUAUUUGCUAUGCCCCACAAUCUAAACCACCUUUAGAGUAUGACUUUAAAGUUGAAUGCUAGAGAAGUCAUAAAAGGAAUAAAGCAAAGGAAAUUAAAAUUGACAUGUGGGUAGAGUUCUCAAGUAUAAUUUAUUUAGUCAAUCAAUAAUUAUAUUAGAGCACACAAAUAUGAACAGACUAUGCAAGACACUAUGAAGAUGACGAAGAAUCACAUGCAGAUUCUAUUCCUGGUGCUUAUUCUUGUAGGGCACAUAAUGCAUAUAAACAAAUAAUAUAUAUGCACAUAAUAAUGCAUCUAAAGAAACGAUAGAGACAAAUAAUUAUCAUGCAAAGUAGGUGGUUAUAAAUGCCAUGAGAGAGAUGUAAAUAAAAUCUCCUAGGAUUUCAGAAGAGAAGGGCCUCUAUUGAUCGAGGGGGUGCUGAUCACGCAGGGGCCUUUCCUCCGGCCCUGAGGGAUGGACAACCUUUGGACAUAAGAGGGGAGAAUUCAAUGGGCUUUUGCCCAACACCGUGCAAUCUAAGGCCAUCCUCAGGAAUAGCUACAAAAUGGAUGGAAUUAGCUUUUUGUUCUUUCUUAGCUUCUCUUUCUCUGCUCUAACUAAAUGACUGACGAUAUUUUGACAAACUAAUGCAUGCUAAUGCAUUAAUGGCUAAUAAGGGUGAAAUUCUGCUUUCCCAGCUACUUAUGUUUUAACAUGCUUUAAUUCUAAUUACUGUAAAACAGCUACUCAUUAUAUAAAUGACUCUUCAGAUAUAACCUGGGCUGAAAUCUGUGGGGAUGUAUUUUUCUCUUUCCAUUUUGUCUUCUAGUCCCCUUUUAAUUUGUAACUUAGGGCAGGGUGGCCUAGAGAACCCCAUAGUUGCUAGCACUCCUUCCUGUGGCAAAGUGGGGAUCCAGAUUAACCAGGAUUUAGGCUCACACAUUUGGACUAUGGCCAGGGCCCAACCUCAGUGACUUGUGGGUUGGCAUCUCUUACAGUGGGUGAAAAAACAAAGGAGAUAAUUUAGAUGCAUUGCCUACCAUUAUUUUAAAACCAUGGGCCAAUAUCAAAAAUUGAUAUUGUUAGUAAUAGAACAAGCUAAAAUUAGAGGUUGAAAGAGAGAAGGGGAGGAUGGAGCAAAGGUGACGUAGAGAACAGAGGUGAUGCUUCUCUAGUUCUGUGAGGAACCAGCCAAAUAAAGCAAACAGUGGUGUGGCCUUGGAAGUCCAGUUCUUUGUGCAGGAGGAGCUGACCUGUGGGUGACAGGGUGGAACUGGCCAAGUCGCAUGGUUCUGUUAGGCUUCCCAUGCCUGUCAUGGAGUUAGUUGGGGCAAAGUUAAGGUUACACAACCCUAAGUGCUGGAGAGCAAGGUGAGACAUGGUUUUGGGCACAUAUGGAAGUUGUUUUUAUUAGUUAAGCAGAAUGAAGAAUGCUAAUAAAAGGUAAAUCAAUGCUUUUCCUCUCAGAUGUAUCCAGGUUGUCCUGGCAACAUCAGGGAGAACAUUAGUUUCCUUGUACAGGCCCUUGCAUAUCUUUCUGUUCAUAAUAUCUUCUGCUUGAAUGGGGCAUUUGCCCAGUUCCAGAACAUGGCUGGCCUAUGUCUUUUUUUUCUCAACACAGAGUUCUAACUUUAUAUCCUCUCUGGUAGACACUGUUGGGUGUCCUCCAACAGUUGUACCACUUUUUCCCCCCUAAUGAACACCUGAUCCUGUUUGGACAGCACUGUGUCCAGGCCCAGAAUUAAUUGUGAUUGGUCUAACUCUUAGACAACCAAGACCAUCGGUUUCCCCCUUGCCAGGGACUGGUCCAGGGGUUGGCAUAUGACUUAGACCUGGGCAAUGAGAUGUAAAGGAAAAUCUGCUGGGACUUCUAGGAAACAUUUUAUCCCUGGUAAGUGGUGUGACUGGCAUAAGGAAAAACUCCUUUUGCUCCAUUUGUCACUCCUACUUGGGGAUGUGAUUCUUAGAGGUACAGGAGCCAUUUUUUUAAGCCUGAGAAGAAGCAUAAUUGACACAUUGAGGAUGGAAGAGCAGAAAGAUAAAACGUCAUUGGCAGUAUUAUUGAGCCAUGAACUCUGGGCUUCUUGUUUAGUAAGCAAUUCAUUUUUUAUGGUUUAAUUCACUCUUGUUUGGAUAUUCUGUUACUUGCAACUCAAAGCAUUCUAAUGAAUAUUUAUACUGAGCCCUCAGCUAUGGAGCUGGGGAAAGCUAUGGAUUAACAAAGGAGCUUAAAAGCAUGGCCACCAAGAUGGUAGCAAAGCUGGGAUGGCAUUUGCUUCUGAAAGUAGAUCGCUGCCUUCUGCCGUUUUUUUCCAGUGCAGGAUGCAACUUUCAGUUCUCAGUUUUCCAAAAUGGCUGGGCUUGCCUCGUGAUGGGGUGACAUGGACUCGCUUCAUUGUUAUUCCACCUCUCUGACUUCUCCUACAUCAAAAGCACUGCUGUUCCUCCCUCAUUCACAGGAUGGCUCUUCCUUGAGGUCCUCACCUUGAUCCUCUUCUCUCCAUCCCCUUUCCCUUAGGAAUAUCAUAUGCUGCCCAGACUUUCUCGUGUCUUUCAAAAAUAACUAUCCAACUUUGUCUCCAACUUUCCUUUGCACUCCAGACUUGAGGUGUCAGUUGCUUAUGGUCUAUUUCUUACCGGGUGUUCCACUAGCAGCACAAACACAAACAUAUGCUGAACCAAAAGAAUCAUCUUCUCUGAAAAAUCUGACAUCUCCAAAUCUGAUAAUGUCAGUAUCACACUCUGGUCUCUCCAUUUUCAAGCCAUUUGGCGCUUCCUUCUCCCACACUGCAUCUAUGCAAUCCAUUGCUGUCAAUUCUACCUCUGAAUUCCCUCACUCACUUCUUCCCUCCUCUCCAUCUUUCCUGCCUCUUGUCUAGCCCAGCACCAAAUCCUACCUGAACCUCUGCAAUAGACUCAAAUGAAGACAGCAUUAAGAAAUUUCCACCCCCUACUUUAUCUUACACACACCCAUAGUGUGCCUCCUUACGCAGAAUCUUCAAAAGCAGCCCCACCUUCUGAGUUAAGUACUAACUCUCACCAGGCUAUUCUAGGCUCCCCAGAACAUAGCAAACUUGUCAUCUUAACUUUAUCCAUUGCUAUUUAUCUGUUCAUUUUCUGUGCUCCUAGUUAAGCAUGACUAAUGCCACUAUUAUGAUUACUAUUACCACCAGCAACUGCUGCUACUAUUACUUAUCUCUGGUGUUACCAUGAGCAUCAUAAUACAACUCUCUCUCUCAAUGGUGAACACUUAUUGAACUCUUAAUGUGUGCCAAGCACUGUGCUUAAGCACUUUCAUCCAACAUGCAGUCAACAAAUAAUCACUGACCCCCUGCAAUAUGCUCUGCAGGUAUCGAAGACACAAUGGAACAGACAGGGAUUUGCCCUCCACACUCGCGGAGCUUAUAGCUUCACUCUCCCUGUCUACUUUAAUUCUUGCCAUAAUCUUUUGGAGGUAGGUGUGGUUGUGAUCAACAUCGUUUCACAGAUGAGGAAACUGAGGCUUAGAGAGUAAGUGACCCGUGAAAAGACUUAGAAAUAAGAGAGGAGGCUUCCAGAUGUCUCCCGCUCUGGCUCCUGUGCCAUCUACACUGCCCUUCACCAUCCUAUUCCUUCACACUUCCCCUUGUGCCCCCUCACUCACCACAGCUCCUUGAGGGGAGAGAUGGUGUCAUAUUCUUCUCUGUAGCCCCUGUAACACCCAGCAUAGUGAGUAGCAUCUUUACAGAUCCCUACAUGUUUUGAGGUUAAAUGAAAUAGAAGUACAAGCCCUAGUGACAUCACCCCUGAAAGGCCUCAGUCCCCCAGUCAGGCCCUCUUAAUGCUGAGCAAGGGCCUCUCCCAGAGUGAUCAAUGCCUCCUAACUGUCUGAAAUAGAAGGCAAUAUGCCUUACCCAUAGCUUCUAACACAAGAUGUCAUUGGUUCGUCUGUUCCUGUGCUUAAUAAGCAAGAUUAAUAUCCAUUUUAAAUUCAGUUGAUAAGAUGGUAUAACCCUGUGUUCAUUCCUCUUUCCAAUAUGCACCACGGCACUCUGCUAAUGUUCCAUCAUGUUCUGCUACAAUGCAUUAAGGGCAAGAUUGGUGACAUUUGUUUGGAAUCAGACACCUGUUAUCAAUUUUGAGCAUGGCUUAUAUAUCCUGCUUCAAAAUAUCCAGGGGGCCAAUGGAGAUGAAUGAGGCAUAGGUACUGUUCCUGCUGCUUUACACAGCUCCUCUUUACAUAGGAAACAUGGAGGAAUAACCUGAAAAAUAUAGUCUUAACACAAUCAUCAUGGAAAGAAUCAUCAUUAACACAAAUAACAGUUUUUUGCUCAUCUGGCUUCUUUUAUCACCACCUUUCCUAAGACUUACAUGCCCCUUCCUUUCAUUCUCUCAGCUUUGACACCGUAGAAAUCCAAUUCUCUCCAGUGAAGAGAUGGAGAAGCUGAGUGAGAGACUAUGUAUAGGAGAUUGGGUCCUAGAGAUAGGCUAGCCCCCAGCAGGGGAGGGUCCCAGAAGUCUUAUGUCUCUGAGGUGCGGACAAAAGAAAAACCUGUGACCGGCAAGCUAAAACAAGAUUAGAGGCUGACGGAAAUUGCUUUGUGCAUCAGACUGAAAGCCAGAGGCAAAAACAAAGACUGUGUCAAGAGAUGGAGAGAAGGGAGGAGGUGUGUUUAGUAAGUGAAGAAGGAAGGAACGAUGGAGCAUGCAUACCCUGGGGACUCAGAGCCUUGGUUCAAGCCAGUCCCUCCUCUCCCAUCUCCCAUCAUCCCAGGAUGACUUCUGGGCUGCCUGCCUUCUCCUGCUGCUUGGCUUCUUGGGCCCCACACAGUUCUGCCCUCCCCAAACCUGCCCCAUGACCACUGCUGCACUCUUCUCUGUGCCAUCGGUUGGUGGAAGGCCAGGGUUCUGCUACUGCCCUCUGCUCUUGGCAGCAGCCUGGGAGCAGAGUUGGAGAAUAUAAAGUCGGG